GUCUGGAAGGGAUAAACGCUGAAGGCAUCUAAGCGUGAAGCCCACCCUAAGAUGAGAUAUCCCGUCUUUAAAAGACAUAAGAUCCCUUGAAGAGUACAAGGUAGAUAGGGCAGGGGUGUAAGAGCUGUAAAGCUCUCAGCUGACUGUCACUAAUAGAUCGAAGGCUUGAUCAAG
rnacentral:rRNA from 1 species